AUUGAACGCUGGCGGCAUGCCUUACACAUGCAAGUCGAACGGCAGCACGGGUGCUUGCACCUGGUGGCGAGUGGCGAACGGGUGAGUAAUACAUCGGAACAUGUCCUGUAGUGGGGGAUAGCCCGGCGAAAGCCGGAUUAAUACCGCAUACGAUCUACGGAUGAAAGCGGGGGCCCUUCGGGCCUCGCGCUAUAGGGUUGGCCGAUGGCUGAUUAGCUAGUUGGUGGGGUAAAGGCCUACCAAGGCGACGAUCAGUAGCUGGUCUGAGAGGACGACCAGCCAAACUGGGACUGAGACACGGCCCAGACUCCUACGGGAGGCAGCAGUGGGGAAUGUUGGACAAUGGGCGAAAGCCUGAUCCAGCAAUGCCGCGUGUGUGAAGAAGGCCUUCGGGUUGUAAAGCACUUUUGUCCGGAAAGAAAUCCUUGGCCCUAAUACGGUCGGGGGAUGACGGUACCGGAAGAAUAAGCACCGGCUAACUACGUG
rnacentral:rRNA from 1 species